rnacentral:misc_RNA from 1 species
AAACAAGUCCACCGUGGGCUUUGAAAAACGCUUUCCUUGAUAAAAUUUAAGCGUUUUAUAAGAGGAUGCCGGGGAAGGUUUUCCGGUUUAUCCCGGAGGGCUUGUAGCUCAGUUGGUUAGAGCGCGCGCUUGAUAAGCGUGAGGUCGGAGGUUCAAGUCCUCCCAGGCCCACCAGUUUAUCCAUUACUUUCAUAAGUGCUUUUAAAAAAUAAGUACUUCUAAAAAGAUUGCUUCUAAAAAGCUUAUCAAAAUUGGCAGGCUUAUUGCUUUUGUGUGAGUAAUCCAAAGUUAAAGCAAAUUAAUGGCAAAAAAACAGUUCAAAUGCUAAAUACUAAGGAGUCAAAAUUCCUUGCAAAGUGAUUUUUACAGCGUCCAUUUGGUUGAUAUAAAUUCCAAAUGCUCAUAGACGUCAAUGCCUAUAUGAAACUAUCGGUUCAAUCAUAUCGCUUUGAGUUAUAUAGAUUUUGUAAUCCCUCUUUUGAUCGUUUUAAACGCUUUAUUCUGAUUUAGGGGCCGUAGCUCAGCUGGGAGAGCACCUGCUUUGCAAG